rnacentral:rRNA from 1 species
UCGAACGGCAGCACGGGAGCAAUCCUGGUGGCGAGUGGCGAACGGGUGAGUAAAGUAUCGGAACGUGCCCAGUCGUGGGGGAUAACGUAGCGAAAGUUACGCUAAUACCGCAUACGAUCUAUGGAUGAAAGCGGGGGAUCGCAAGACCUCGCGCGAUUGGAGCGGCCGAUAUCAGAUUAGGUAGUUGGUGGGGUAAAGGCUCACCAAGCCGACGAUCUGUAGCUGGUCUGAGAGGACGACCAGCCACACUGGGACUGAGACACGGCCCAGACUCCUACGGGAGGCAGCAGUGGGGAAUUUUGGACAAUGGGCGCAAGCCUGAUCCAGCCAUGCCGCGUGCAGGAUGAAGGCCUUCGGGUUGUAAACUGCUUUUGUACGGAACGAAAAGGUUUGGCCUAAUAAGCUGAGCUCAUGACGGUACCGUAAGAAUAAGCACCGGCUAACUACGUGCCAGCAGCCGCGGUAAUACGUAGGGUGCGAGCGUUAAUCGGAAUUACUGGGCGUAAAGCGUGCGCAGGCGGUUAUGUAAGACAGAUGUGAAAUCCCCGGGCUCAACCUGGGAACUGCAUUAGUGACUGCAUAGCUGGAGUACGGCAGAGGGGGAUGGAAUUCCGCGUGUAGCAGUGAAAUGCGUAGAUAUGCGGAGGAACACCGAUGGCGAAGGCAAUCCCCUGGGCCUGUA